GAAAUGCGAAAAGUAGUGUGAAUUGCAGAAUUCAGUGAAUCAUCGAAUCUUUGAACGCACAUUGCGCCCCUUGGUAUUCCAUGGGGCAUGCCUGUUCGAGCGUCAUUUGUACCUUCAAGCUCUGCUUGGUGUUGGGUGUUUGUCCCGCCGUUGCGCGUGGACUCGCCUCAAAGCAAUUGGCAGCCGGCAUAAGCCUGGGAGCGCAGCACAAUUGUUGCUUCCAUUCUUUGUAUGUCGAGCGUCCAGCAAGCCUUUUAUUCUUGCGUUUGACCUCGGAUCAGGUAGGGAUACCCGCUGAACUUAA
rnacentral:misc_RNA from 1 species